GGGUCAGUAGGUUGGUCGUGCCACCGGUACGUACUGGUCUCACUGAUUCCUCCCUCCUGAAGAACCGUAAUGCCAUUAAUUUGGUGUUGCGGGGAAACAGGACUGUUACCUUGAAAAAAUUAGAGUGUUUAAAGCAAGCUAACGCUUGAAUACAUUAGCAUGGAAUAAUGAAAUAGGACGAUCGAUCCUAUUUUGUUGGUCUCUAGGAUUGACGUA
rnacentral:rRNA from 1 species